rnacentral:rRNA from 1 species
AUAGGUGGGAGGCAAAGAAGAUAUGUUUGCGGAUGUAUAUGAGCCAUUAGUGAGAUACCACUCUGAUUAAACUAGAAUUCUAAUAUUGAUUGCCAUAAGCUGGCCAAUAGACAGUUUCAGGUGGGCAGUUUGACUGGGGCGGUCGCCUCCUAAAAGGUAACGGAGGCGUGCAAAGGUUUCCUCAGGCUGGUCGGAAAUCAGUCGUAGAGUAUAAAGGCAUAAGGAAGCUUGACUGCAAGACCUACAAGUCGAGCAGAGACGAAAGUCGGCCUUAGUGAUCCGACAGUGCUG